rnacentral:rRNA from 1 species
GAUGAACGCUGGCGGCGUGCCUAAUACAUGCAAGUCGAGCGAACGGACGAGAAGCUUGCUUCUCUAAUGUUAGCGGCGGACGGGUGAGUAACACGUGGAUAACCUACCUAUAAGACUGGGAUAACUUCGGGAAACCGUAGCUAAUACCGGAUAAUAUUUUGAACCGCAUGGUUCAAAAGUGAAAGACGGUCUUGCUGUCACUUAUAGAUGGAUCCGCGCUGCAUCAGCUAGUUGGUAAGGUAACGGCUUACCAAGGCAACGAUGCAUAGCCGACCUGAGAGGGUGAUCGGCCACACUGGAACUGAGACACGGUCCAGACUCCUACGGGAGGCAGCAGUAGGGAAUCUUCCGCAAUGGGCGAAAGCCUGACGGAGCAACGCCGCGUGAGUGAUGAAGGUCUUCGGAUCGUAAAACUCUGUUAUUAGGGAAGAACAUAUGUGUAAGUAACUGUGCACAUCUUGACGGUACCUAAUCAGAAAGGCACGGCUAACUACGUG